GGUUCAGCUUUUAAUUCAAUUACAUGUGCUGUUCACCAAAGCCAGGCGCAGAGGUGAAGUUUGUUGCACUCUUGGGGAAGGAGGCAUGAUUUCAAUUGAAUUUUUUCUCUCCCUUUCAAUCAAGUGAAAAUUACGCGCCUCUAAAUGACAUUGCAUGAGCUCAACAGUGAAAAACAAAAAUUGAAAUAGAAAUGAUGGUAGAAAUAUUAAUUAUUUUUCAUGGACAUACAUCCUGGGCUUCCAUAUGUUUUAUUCAUAUGCUUCUUUAACCUUCGUAUAAUGUAAUUUGGCUGCUGGGUUUGGGCCGCACCCAUAACAAGGUCUGGAGAGAGAGAGAGAAAAAAAAUCCACGUCAAUUGGUCUCCUCCAGCAGUCGUCACUCCACAUUGUCCCACCUCCUCCUUGUCUUCUCCGGGCAGCGGACGUAUAUAAACACACUGUACCAUCUUCCUCCAGCCUACCUAGUAACAUCACCAUAACCAUUACGUGGAGCUCGGAUGGGAGGGCGCACAGGCGAAGAGAUUGUGGCUGAUUUCAAGCAGAAAAGCCCCCACAGCGACCGAGGCUCGUCCACCUUCUCAUCCAGCAUAAUGUCAGCAUCACCUGUUGUUCCCUCCGUCGAUCGAAGCAGAGGAUGUGGACGCGACGUGAGAAAGUGUUGGUGGUGCUGAGUGGAAGACUAGUGAUUUUGUUGUGACGCUGCUCAAAGAACAACAAGUCCCAGUCUACCUCUCAGCACAAGCAGUGCCCUCCGGUUUACGUCAGCUUUAACCUGCACGACUCUUCAGUUCACAUUUCACUGUUGGCAUCGUUGACGGGGAUAUUCUGCUUUUUUUUCAGUGGCGACAAUUUGAAACAUGCUCUUUAAAAAACACUUAAAAUGGUCUGAUUCAGUCUCCGUGUGAAUGAGUGUAGCCAAACUGUUCAGCAGUGUUAAUCACGGGCAAUCAAAAGCAUCAAUUAAGCAUUUAUGGAACUGAAUCACACACAAGAAAAGCUGCUCAGGGAAAUGAUGCAAUAAUGCCAUGAAGUACUUUGUGCGCCACAGACUGAAAUAGUUGAGCAUUAUUGUUCUAAACUUUCCAGUUAUACUACAUAUUCUUAAUCCAAGGUUCUAUUGUUUAUCGAUUAUCCUCCAUUGGAACAAACAGCAUUUAAAGUCUUUUAUUUUGGUAAAAUAAAACCCAAUUGUAAACCUC